rnacentral:rRNA from 1 species
GACGAACGCUGGCGGCGUGCCUAAUACAUGCAAGUUGAGCGCUGAAGGUUGGUACUUGUACCAACUGGAUGAGCAGCGAACGGGUGAGUAACGCGUGGGGAAUCUGCCUUUGAGCGGGGGACAACAUUUGGAAACGAAUGCUAAUACCGCAUAAAAACUUUAAACACAAGUUUUAAGUUUGAAAGAUGCAAUUGCAUCACUCAAAGAUGAUCCCGCGUUGUAUUAGCUAGUUGGUGAGGUAAAGGCUCACCAAGGCGAUGAUACAUAGCCGACCUGAGAGGGUGAGCGGCCACAUUGGGACUGAGACACGGCCCAAACUCCUACGGGAGGCAGCAGUAGGGAAUCUUCGGCAAUGGACGAAAGUCUGACCGAGCAACGCCGCGUGAGUGAAGAAGGUUUUCGGAUCGUAAAACUCUGUUGGUAGAGAAGAACGUUGGUGAGAGUGGAAAGCUCAUCAAGUGACGGUAACUACACAGAAAGGGACGGCUAACUACGUG